GCCUGGGUGGCUCAGUUGGUUGAGCAUCUGACUUCAGCUCAGAUCAGGCUCUCAUGGCUGGUGGGUUUGAGCCCCGCAUUGGGCU
rnacentral:tRNA from 1 species